UACGAAGGGGGCUAGCGUUGCUCGGAAUCACUGGGCGUAAAGCGCACGUAGGCGGAUUGCUAAGUCAGGGGUGAAAUCCUGGAGCUCAACUCCAGAACUGCCUUUGAUACUGGCGACCUUGAGUCCGGGAGAGGCGAGUGGAAUACCGAGUGUAGAGGUGAAAUUCGUAGAUAUUCGGUGGAACACCAGUGGCGAAGGCGACUCGCUGGACUGAUACUGACGCUGAGGUGCGAAAGCGUGGGGAGCAAACAGG
rnacentral:rRNA from 1 species